AAGCCUAGAACCAGUACCUCUGAAAAAGUAAAUUAUGAAGUAAAAGGUGAGUCAAAAAGCAAAUAAAUGACUCUAAAAAAUCAAGGGUUUAUUAUUUUUCAUUCAAAGUACAGUGGAAACAGUGUAGAAAUUAUUCGCAAAUCAAUCGAUAUUCAAGUCAAUCCGGCCUAAAAUUGUGAAAUUCUGAAUUCUGAAAAUACAACACAAGAAUCCAUAUUCGUCCUGUAACAGAAAAUAAAAGAAUCCCC
rnacentral:lncRNA from 1 species